CUACGGGAGGCUGCAGUGAGGAAUUUUGCGCAAUGGGGGGAACCCUGACGCAGCAACGCCGUGUGAGUGAAGAAGGCCUUUGGGUCGUAAAGCUCUGUCAACUGGGAAGAAGUUACUAUGCUUAAAUAGAGUGUAGUAUUGACGGUACCAGUGGAGGAAGCGUCGGCUAACUCCGUGCCAGCAGCCGCGGUAACACGGGGGACGCAAGCGUUAUUCGGAAUUAUUGGGCGUAAAGGGCGCGUAGGCGGUCUUGUCGGUCAGGUGUGAAAGCCCGGGGCUCAACCCCGGACGUGCACUUGAAACAGCAAGACUUGAGUACGGGAGAGGAAAGCGGAAUUCCUGGUGUAGAGGUGAAAUUCGUAGAUAUCAGGAGGAACACCGAUGGCGAAGGCAGCUUUCUGGACCGAAACUGACGCUGAGGCGCGAAGGCGUGGGUAGCGAACGGGAUUAGAUACCCGCGUAGUC
rnacentral:rRNA from 1 species